AGACCACGCCCCCCUGAGUCAUCGCCCUGCGCGGCCCCGCCGGACCCAGCCAUGCAGAACUAUCGGGGGCUCACGGACAAGGAGCUGCUGGAGAAGCUCAAGAGCUACCGCAUCCCCCAUGGGGCCCUCCAGGGCUCCACGAGGAAGCUCUAUGAGAAGAAGAUCUACGAGUUCGAGACCCGGCGGUGCCGGCGGGGGGGUGGCGAUGGUCCCGACCACGACGGGCCCCCCCUGGACUAUGGGGGAGCAGCACGAGCCUGGCAGCCUAUCACGGAGCGUUUCCGAGGCCCCCCCGGGCUGAUGGAGGAGGAGCAGAGGCUGGACCCUCCCAGUUGGGGGCCCGGGGGGGGCCCGUUGCCGCGGGAACCGCUGCGGCCCCCCCCGCCUCCGCCUCCCCCCACGGGCCUCCCCCGGCGCCUCCUCCCGCUGCGGCCGCAGCUCCUGGCCCUGGGGCUCCUCGUGGCCCUUCUGGUGCUGCUGCACUUCGGGGGGGGGGGGGGGCACCCCCGAAACCACCCCCCCGCGGAGGAGACCCCCCCAUAACCCCCCUCCUCGACCCCAAUGUCUCACAGGGACCCCCCCAAACCCCACAAGGACCCCCUCAGGGACCCCCCCAAACCACUCAUUGUCCCCCCAGGGACCCCCUAAUAUGCCUUUGGAACACCCAGGGCCCCCCCCGGACCCCAAUACCCCCAGGGCCACCCAACACUAUUAUGCCCCCCCCCCCCCGACCCCCAUUAUCCCCUUUGGACCCACAGGGACCCCCCCGGACCCCAAUACCCCCAGGGCCACCCAACACUAUUAUGCCCCCCCCCCCCCCGACCCCCAUUAUCCCCUUUGGACCCCCAGGGACCCCCCCAAAACCACCCAUUGCCCCCUCCACGGAUCCCCAUUAUCCCCUUGGGAGCCCCCAGAUCACGCCUAGACCCUCCCCAGACCCCCCUUGUUCCGACACGACCCCCCGAAACCGGGGGGGGGAUGAGGGGCGGGAGUCUCCCCCCCCCCAUUAAUAAAGGCAGCGUGUUUGUAUGGA
ensembl:lncRNA